rnacentral:lncRNA from 1 species
UAUCGAUCGAUGGUAUCAUUUGCAUUGAAUAAAAGUUUAAUGUUUGUUUGAAUGUACUGCUGUCGAGUGCUUGUGUUAGAAAACAAUUUUUACAGUUCUAAAACAGUUUUAAUAAAGCUAUGUAUACACAUCAAGGACACUGCCUAUGUCUAUGCCAAAGCCAUAAUCAAUGCCAGCCAUUAAUUACUCCAUGUCACCAACUUUGUUGCCAUCCCUAGUGCCAUGUAGCAAUUAAUGGCUGCCACAUUUAGAAGAGAUUGUUAAUGUAUUUAGAACAGUGUUGCUAUCUAUGCUUGCUAUCACUGUUGCCAGUUCAUUGUGUUGUCAUGCAGUUAUUUGCUAAUAGACCACUGUGAAACCAUGGACCCAGUAUGAGACCGAGGACCUAUUCAGAGGUCAUUUUUGUGUUUUCAGAGGUUUGGAGCGGUCGGGACUUUGGUCCCUUCGGUUGGGACUAUGGACCCUUGUUCAGUAUAUGUUAGGUUCUGGGCAGAACUGCACUUCAACCUCAUUUAGGUCAAGGUCAUCAUUUGCCAUGCUAAGAGAGAUGAUUAGAAUGAAAAGAAAACAAUUAUACGCACAGAAAUAUUUUCUAUUAUUCACACUACUUAGGACAAUAAGAGUAAACAAUCAUUAUUAUAAAAUAAACAUCUCUAAUAUUUCUUUUGAAAUCAGAGCAGUUAUAAAAUCAUAUUUAGCU